GACGAACGCUGGCGGCGUGCCUAAUACAUGCAAGUAGAACGCAGUUGCGAACGGGUGCGUAACGCGUAGGUAACUGCCUCAUCGCGGGGGAUAACUAUUGGAAACGAUAGCUAAUACCGCAUACUGUGGGAUGGACCUGCGUUGUGGUAGCUAGUUGGUGAGGUAAAGGCUCACCAAGGCGACGAUACAUAGCCGACCUGAGAGGGUGAGUGGCCCACCUGGGAACGGGACACGGCCCAGACUCCUUAGGGAGGCAGGAGGAGGGAAUCUUCGGCAAUUGAAGGAAGUCUGAACGAGCAAAGGCGCGGGAGUGAAGAAGGGUUUCGGAUCGUAAAGCCUUGUUGGUAGGGAAGCGGUAACUAACCAGAAAGCGACGGCUAACUACGUGCCAGCAGCCGCGGUAAUAC
rnacentral:rRNA from 1 species